rnacentral:rRNA from 1 species
UACGAAGGGGGCUAGCGUUGUUCGGAUUUACUGGGCGUAAAGCGCACGUAGGCGGACUUUUAAGUCAGGGGUGAAAUCCCGAGGCUCAACCUCGGAAUUGCCUUUGAUACUGGAAGUCUUGAGUUCGGAAGAGGUGAGUGGAAUUGUGAGUGUAGAGGUGAAAUUCGUAGAUAUUCACAAGAACACCGGUGGCGAAGGCGGCUCACUGGUCCGAUACUGACGCUGAGGUGCGAAAGCGUGGGGAGCAAACAGG